GUGAAAGUCCAGUCGUUGAAUCAGCGCCAACUCCCGCCGUUUGGCUCCCGAGUAGUAUGGGACACGUGAAAUCCCGUAUGAAUUUGCGAGGACCACCUCGUAAGACUAAAUACUCCUAGGUCACCGAUAGCGAAUAGUACCGCGAGGGAAAGGUGAAAAGAACCCCUUUACGGGGAGUGAAAUAGAACAUGAAACCGUAUGCUUACAAUUUGUGGGAGGAUGUCCACAUCUGACCGCAUGCCUGUUGAAGAAUGAGCUGGCGACUUAGAAGAAGUGGCAGGGUAAGAUUUUUCAUCGAAGCCAAAGCGAAAGC
rnacentral:rRNA from 1 species